rnacentral:rRNA from 1 species
AUGGCUUACAACCAACAAUUCAAGAUACUCGAGGUACCUCCGAUCGUGCAAGAACUGGUGGCCGGCGGCUUGCAGGAGCCACCCGGCCAGUACGUAGUUCCUGAGCAAGACCGUCCCGCUGCGACUGUCUCCGAGAUGCCCGAGCCCAUCCCGAUCGUCGAUCUCAGCCGUAUGUCUUCCAACAGCGCAGAAGAGUUCACCAAGCUGCAAUCCGCCUUGGAGAACUGGGACCUCUUCCUGAUAUUGAGCAAUGGAUUCUUCAAAAGUCCCGUGCACAGGGUUGUGACAAAUGUGGAGAAAGAGCGCUUAUCGUUGGUGAUGUUCUAUACAUUGGACCCAGAGACUGAGAUUGAGCCGGUGUCAGAGUUGGUCGACGAGAAGAGACCGACACAGUACAUGAAAAUGAAGAACAAGGACUACAUAGCAAAAUUUUAUAAAACUUAUGCAACAGGGAAACUAGCCAUCGACAACAUGAAAAUCUGA